AAAUAGCAGAAAAUUUUUCUGAAAAAAGUUAAGCAAAGACACGGCUAAAUUUCAAUUAAUCCAUCUAAAUGCCGAAAAGAAGAGCCAAAUCCAGAUUCCUCCACUAGAAUGAAAACUAGGUGUUGGUGAGUGAGUCGAGCAAAGGACAGAACCAGAAUGCCUUCCUUAAUUGCAGUGAACUCCGCUUAGAAAAAACACUGCGGUGAUCUGAGAGUCGAAAAACAAUUCUGGCAUUCAGAAAGAUCUCCAACCGAAAUUCUUGCACUAAAUUUUUAUCAAAAGUAUUAUGAGGAAAAAAUGCAGAAACAACCGCAACACAAAUUUCCAGGAAAGAUUAUUAUUUUAGCGAUAGCAUUGUAAGUUUUAAUCGUAAAAAUUUGUAAA
rnacentral:lncRNA from 1 species